CCUACCUACCCUCCAUUCAGUUCGGGUCCCUCCGGGAAGGCUUAUUCACGGUUCCCAGUUUGGAUCUAUUCUUUAGUACCACUACUUACUACUUCCCACCGCCCCUCAAUUUUUACACCGUCACUGCAAGGGCUAUGAAAAGAAUUCACUUUUACCACGGGGUUUGUACGCAAAAGACGAACCGUCUUUUGAGCGACACCGAACACCGUCCGUCUUCGAACUAGCUUAUGGAUGAAAUCUACACACUGAUGUCUAACCUGCAAUGAAAGCCAAUGUUUUGACCUUUCAAUAGAGAGCUGAUUUUGGAGAACGGCUUACUCCUGUGAUUGAAAAACUCUCUGGAAGGUUGAUGGAGCAUGAGCAUGAUUAAUUAACUUAUGUUGCUGACCCACUUUCCAUUAUGUAAAAACCUGAACAGAAUUUGUCAGUGAGGUCUGAUCAGCAACUCCAGUGCAAUUUGAAAAUAUGUAAUCUGCUGGCAAUGAUGUGCCCAACCUUAAUCGGUGCUGGAGCCUUUGGAAGAGAGAUUGUGUCACCACACUGUAUACAGUCCAACAAUGACUGACGUUGAUGAAUCUGUGAAAGAAGAAAAUAGUUUUCUCGCUUCUUAAUUUGCAAAAUGCGCAAAAGAAAAAAAAAUGUAACGUGGAAUUUAACCCACUGAAGUUGUUAGAUGCUCUGGGGUUUGGGGGGGGGGGUUUAUUUUGUUGGGGUGUGCGUGUUGAGGAAUUAGUUGAUAGUCAUGUACAGCGAUAAAGAAGUCUUAAUCACACACAUGAACUCUUGAUUUUGAGAAUGUGAAUAUUUAUACGAAAUCUAGCUGAAUACUCAAGUAGUACAUGUAAGCUUUUACGGAAUUGAAUCCUUAUUUUUUUGCAGGUAAGACACUACCAAUUUUAAGAAUAAGCCUUUUCAUGCCAACAUGACUCAUCUUUUUUUUCCAUUUACCAGCUUGAUUUUUGGCCUUAAAUCAAAGAAAUAAGUUCUGUUGUUAAGUUAAUGUUAAGGCUGUCUUCAGAAUUUUGUUUAUUUGAACAAAGCAAGAACAAAUGUGUAAGUACCAGCAAUGUGCAGACCAAUGUUGCAGUAUUGGUCUGUUCUAUCUUUAAGCAGGUGGUUUCAUGUGGCAGGCUGGAAGAGAGACUCUUUUUCUUCCCAGCUUUUGACAAAAAGAUGACGCAUAUGACUCAGAAUUAGAAGGGGAAAUCUGCCAGUUUGCAUCAGUUCCUUAACUUGUGGGCUGCUAUUCACCACAAGGAAAAUCAGUAUACUCGUACCAGUGCUUCUUGAGAGAUGAGGAGUAAUCGUUUCCUUCAGAAAGUGUAGGAUGAUUGGAGUAGGCCUUUCAUAUGUUACACUAGGCUUUUCCUAUAAUAAGAUAUUUUUUGAUUGUAUUAAAUUUCUAGGAAGAAAAAAAACCAAAUAAUGUUCUUAAAUGCUACAUUUAAUGUUUAAAAUAGGAAUCAGACAUAUUAUAGCUUAAUGCAGAGUAAAAGCAAAGGUAUCUGCUUCCUUUUGAAAACAUAAAACUUCUGUUUUGCUGGCACUGAAACUCAAAAACCAUUGUAAAUCUCCACAGUCGAAAGCAAUACUUUGGAAACUGAUCCUGUGCAGAGACCACCAGGGUUCCUACAAAAUGCUGCUUGAGUAUUAAGUAUUCUGUUGAGGACAAGAAGUGCUUUGCUGUAAAUCAUGGAGUUAGAAAAUUUAAACAGCAAUACCUGCAUGGCUUGCUUUCAUGAAAGACUGGGUGCCAGCUUAGGAGAGCACAAAAUUUUACAUUAGGCCUGUGACUGCUUCCUGGGCUAAAUGAGCAAGUCUUCUGAGAAUUUAAUAAAAUUAACUUUUUUUUUUUAAUUCUUUAAGAAAGCUAGAAAUUAUCAGCUAUUAGUUUUCUGUCCUUUUUGUUAUGUUUUUAAUUUUUAUCCGGGGGGGGGGGGGGGGGCGAGCGACAAUCUAAUAUAUUUAAGAGGAGAACCUGUUUCCCUAUCUUACAAAGUAGCUAUAUAAUGGAAAGCUAUUAUUCUAUGGGUAUUGUUAUUCGGAGAAGGAUUGUUCCAUUUUCUCUUUUAGCAGCAAUGAUUCUAUGUACUUUAGGUUGUGUAAACUUGAACUAUAACCAUAGGAUAAUCUUUUCUGAAGGUAAUAGUGUAAUAAUCUAAGGAUAUGUUUAUUGGAGAACUUGGGGGGGGAGUAUUGAUAUUAUUAUUAUUAUUAUUAUUAUUAUUAUUAUUAUUAAUUUUUUAAUCUGAAAAGGUGUUAUGAAAUUUUUUUUUAAAACUAAUAUAGAAACUGAAGUUGUACUUUAAGACAGACCUGGCUUGCUUUUUGGUAGAUCCACUAGACUGAGUAUUAAUAUUUUUUGUGAUAAAAUCAGGGGGAAAGGAACAUUUUAAUGACCUCUAUGAUGAAAUAUAAAACUUUGUAGAACUUAGAAAAAUAGCUUCUUCGUUUUUCUUAAUUUUGUAUGUGUCCUUUCAAGCAGAAAGAAUGCUGGUACAGAUUGAAAGUGUUCACAUAGUUUUCUUCCUGUGUGCAUGCCAAAGGUGCAGGGAAGACAGAUUUUUAAAAGUUGUGUGCAAGCUAUACCAGUGCAAUCAAGAGGGAUCUGGAAAGCUUUUCUGAAAUACAACUUUUACAAACUCUGUUAGAACCCAGAGCUUGUUACACUUUACAAGUUCCCUGUAAAGUAUUUCAUAUAGCAGUCUAGUUAAUGCAUCAACAUCUGACAAAACACUCUUUAGAAGCUGGGAAAAGAGGUGGGAGGAGUUAUUCAAUUUUAUUUUUAAGUUAGAGUUGAUACUAAGAUAUACUGAUAAUAUACUAAAAUAUACAUUGAUAAUAUUUGUGUGCUGUAUCAGCUUCCCUUAGUUCUGCUUUUUUAGCUAGCAGGCUAUAAAAACUGUUUGACUAUUUGACAUCCUGUACUUGUUCAAGUCAGAACUGACUACCUUUAGUUUCUUGCCUUCCACAUAAAUCCGCUGCAUUUUGGUUGCUACUCAUCGCUCCAAUAGAAGCAUCAAUAUUGCAGUACCAAAUAACUGGCUUGGCUUUGGUUUGUUUUCAUGACUGCAAUAGGAGGAAAAAAAAAGUGCACCUCAUACAAACGAAUAUGUGAGUCAAGCUAGUAUUAGCAGUGGUUGGAGUGCUGAAGUGAAGUAAAAAGGAUGUAAAUCUGAAUUUGAUGCUGGUAGACCAUAACUGCACUUCCAGAUUUCCAGGUAUUUUUGUACUUCUGAAUUUCUUAUUGGUUUUACUUCCUGGUUUUUAUUUUUAGCUGUCUUUGUUAUUUUAUGUUUAUCUCAUGCAGUAGUUCUCCAGCUAGUCUAAAUAUGUUUGUUCGUGAUCCUUGGAGAAAUGGCUGGACACAUGAUAUAGAUUCUCCAAAUUUAGUAACAGUAGAUUUCAGCAGUUACCUGCUUAACUUUCUAUUAUUAUUUUACAUUGCAAACAACUUCUGUAGUUCCCCCAGUCUUAUGCCAUGGUUAUAUGGGGAAAAUUGUUGACAUGAUCAGGAAAUAGUUAACAGACAAUCCCUUUUUUGUCGAAGUUUGUAUGCUCAACCUUACCCAUGAUUUACAACCAAAACUGCAGAUCGGUGCUAGUUAUCUCUCUUCAAAUAUUCAUCUUUGUCUUCAGAAAAUUAUCCAAAGCGUUAAUUGUGACUUUUUAACACAAAUUGAUAAUAGUCUUAGAAAUAUUCAACUACUUGGUAGAAGGUAUGGGAAGAUCUAUUAUACAUGGAGAGUGUGUAUAAGCUUGAUCCUGAAUGACUGCUCCUUUUUGAGGUGAAGUGGGGCUAAUUAUUGCUGGAUUACAGUCAUUUAAUAAAAAAAAAAAAAAAAAAAAAAAAAAAAAAAAAAAAAAACCCCACAACCCUAGCAUAGAAUGGCUAGGUUAGAGACAGACUGUUUUUUAGAACUGCAAUCUUAAACAUGAGUUCAAAAUCUUACUGUUACUUUAAAAGAAUAGCAAUUAAGGUGUAUAGUUAAUUCUCUUAAUUCAUCUUCCUCUAUGACCACAAAGCAGCCUCAAUUAAGUUGAGUGAAUUAACUGAAUAUCAUAGGUUAUACCUGAAUGAAAUAAUAAUGCAAUAGUAGCCAAAAGUACACCGAUACCUUUAAAGUAAUACUUUGAAAUAUUUCAGCUGAAUCUUUUUUACUUUUUUAAAUGUAUGCAUAUCACUUUAAAGGCUGCUGACACUAAGAAUUAGAGGGAAAAGGGUUCCUUAACAAAAGCAACCAGAAGGCAGGAGUAAAAGAAUGUACUUCUAAAUGUAAGUUUUAAGAAUGAGCAAGAGUUAUAAAUUCCAGUGUGUUUGCAGUAUAAAUAUUACAGUGUUGAGUAAGCAUAUGACAAAAAUAAAGUGAAACUACUAUUGUUUAAACGGAUGGGGGGGGGAAGUAAACAGUGUAUUAUCAACAUACAGCUACAUACACAUGUGGAUCUUACAAUUUUGAUGCUUGAGAACAGCAGUGUUUAUAUUUCUUAAUAGUGAAGUGAGAUUAUCCCUAAUUCAGUUUUUUGCCCAAAUGAAUGUAGUAAAAAAAAAAAAACAAAAAACAACACACACACACACAAAAAAACCCACGAAAUUACGUAUUUGCAGCAAGAGUUGAACUGUCAGUGUGUUUAUUCAUAUUGAAUGGUGUAUUAGUGGCACUGAACUGUGAGCUCUGAGAGGAGAGCUUUGCAAAUUCACCAGCAGUUGUCAAAAAAGUUAUCACUGCAAAAUGUCCUGUCUGCCAUGUGAGAAAGUUAUUCUCUUCAUGGAAUGCACAGAACAAGACAUGCUUGUCGAAACUGCCCCACUUCAAACUGUGCCAUCUGAGUGCAAACCCUGUCUCAUUCCUAGUUUAAACUAAGACGCUAAACUGGGAGAACUGAGAUACGGGGAUAUUCUUCCUGAUGUCUGUGUUAUGGGGGAGAGUAGCACUGGUGGACAAAAAAUGUAAUGCUUUAGACUGUAGAACACUUAAGAGGCUUUCAGUAUCUUUCACCUUCAGAUUUCUAGUUUUAAGUUGAAAUGAUGUUGGGAAAGGGUCACAAUGAACAGUGAAGCAAUAGCCUUGUUUUCAUAGUGAAUCUGUGUUGCUUUGCAUUAAUGAGUAAGUAACGCAAGCAAUGGCGUACGGUUGUGUACAAAUGGUGUAUAACACUAUCAGUGAGAAAGGUGUUUUGGCCAAGAAAUAUCAAGAGAGCACUUUCGUUGUAUGAGCAAAAGGCACAAGGUAAAUGUUUAAUCUUAUGUCAUGUUCUUGGGCAUCUGAGACAAUAUACAGUGUUUAAUAGAAAGGCUUCGAUAUGUUUUACUCCACUGAACUGUCAGAUUGCUGGCUAGUGGUACCUUUUGGAUACAAUAUGUUACACAGAAUUUAAGGAUCUUAUUAGUAGUUAUAGUAGCAUUUAAGGAGCUUAUUAGUAGUUAUAGUAGCCAGAAGUUCACUUGUAGCUGGUUUUCAUGGGGUCAGAAAGAGACUGAAUUGGGCUUGGUGUUGUCGUAAACUCUUAACCAUAAACCAAUAAAAACUGAACAUGGUAUUUUAUAUUAGGCUUGGUCUUUGAUAAAUCAACUAAGAAAUACUGAAAUCAAGGAAAGGCUCUUUCCUUGCUUCCUUGAUUGUGAACACCCCAAUCACAAAAACACACUUUUUUUUUUUUUUUUUUUAAACGAUUUAAUUUCUUUUUUUUCUAACAGCAUUCCUGACUUCUGCAUAUGUGUAGGGAGCCUGCUUCCAUGGAAUUUCAGUUCUGCGUCUUCAGAAUCCUUUUUUUCUUCCAUCUUCCGCAGCAGAGCUCUCACUUUCAGGGGCUUAGAGGGAUCUAACGGAGCUGCCUGCAUACAUGAUUCCCUGCCUUUAUUGAGGUCUCCUCUGUCUGUCUGUCUCUCUCACCCACAGACCCUCAUCUUAAGACACAAGGAUAGAGAUAGCCCUGUUAAUUUGCAGAAGUUGUUUUAUCAUGAACUGACUAGAAGGCUCAUUACAGUGGAAUGGAGUGCUUGGGUCCAUGCUGUGGGAAUUUUUCAUUGAGAUGAUUGAAAUCGCUGCAGUGAGAAUGGAAAUUACAUGGGCUUCUUUCCUUUUAAAAGCUGCAUGCAAGAACUGUGUGGGUUUUACCUGCAUGGGCAGUGCCAUAGCCCAUGGCUGAAUGGAACUCCCUCUGCAUUGCAGCUCUGGGGUCCUAAGGAUGGUGCCUGAUGCAAGAAAGGAAGGCUCGCUGUUUUCAGUUCAGGUGCUCAUUUUCUGCUAGGCUUAGGAACUGUACAGGGGAAAAAAGAUGCUUAAUUCAUAUGAAAGGGAAAGAAAAGAUAGGCCUGCUUGAAAAUAAACUGAGACUAGUAGCUGUAUAGGAGCGAAGACAACUAGUGAGAGGAGUGUGUCUAAAAAUCUAAUGUUGAAAGGUUGGAGCUGAGAACUGAUAGGGGAAGGACAGAUAUGAUGAACUGGAAAAGUGGAAGGGGGGAAAAAAAACCUCUGUCCAGGUUGAGCAAAGAUUUGGGGGUUUUGUUUGUUUCUUGAAAUUGGAAGAAGCAGCAGCCUGACAGAAGGGAUCUGGCCUGAGGCAAAGAGGAGUCAGUCUUGGGGGAAAGGGGCUUGCACACCUUGGAUCACUCCUAACGUUCAUUAGAGCACUCUGCACUUCGGAUCCAGAAGGGAAUGCUGACUAUUAAGUAGUAGCUUUUGCUGUCAUCUGUGAAAUCACUGUCAGUUUCAUCCCCCUCAUCGUGUUCCACACAGAAGAGGGCAACCUUAUUAGUGCUCUCAGCUACUUCAUGAAUUUGGUCCUGAAAAGGAAUCCCAAAAUAACAGAAUAGUUAAGGUUGGAAGGGACCUCUGGAGAUCAUCUAAUAUGAGCAGGGUCAGGCAGAGCAGGUUUUUUACGGCUGCGUCCAGUCAGGUUUUGAGUAUCUUCAAGGAUGGACACUCUGCAACCUGUCCUGUUCAGGUAGAAUUUUGUGCUUGUCGCCUCCUGUCCUGUCACGGGACACAGCUGAGAAGAGCCUGGCUAUGUCUUUUUUACUCUCCCUUAUCCCCAUCAGCAGGCAUUUAUAAACUUUAAGAUCACACACACACCAGCCUCUUCUUCUCCAGGCUGGACUCCCAGCUCUCUCAGCCUUUCUUCAUGUGAAAGAUGCUUCAGUUCUCUCAUCGUCUUAGUUAAAAUAUUUACUUCCACAAAUGGGAAUUGGAACUCAAAGGGGGAAAUGCUUUUUGGGGGGAAAAACCAAAACACAACCUAAUAACUAAACUGUAAAGAGAAUAUGAAGACCACAAAAUGAAACACUAAGAAGAUAGAUAGCUCCUGCUUUAAGAUUCGGCAAUCUUCAUUUGCCCCCUUGUGUUAGUGUACUAUGAAGCAGUCUUUGUGAUCAUACAGAAUAUUUAAUCUAAUGAUAGGAUUGACCCGGUGUGGUGCAGAGCCAGGGAGGAUGUCUGUGGGCUGUGCAAGCAAGAAGCCUGAUAGGUGCUGCAGAAAUUGGUAGAAAAUUCUGUAGGCAAUGGAACAGAAGACUGCAAGUAGAAGAAGCCAUGUCUUCAUGGUUGCGUCAAAUGAGAAUUCCCAAGAAUUGGACGUGAUGUUUUCUUUUUCUGCCCUUAUUCUUAUAUGAUGCUAAACAAGUUACCAGGCCAUUGUUUUCGUAGUACUGGUGUUCCUCACUUCAGAGGGUGACUUAAGACCCUCACAGCUGACAGAAACACUGGCUGUUCACAUUUGCAGCUGAGCUUCUUAGGAGUUGUCAUUUGAAUUAAAAUACCGUGUAACAUGUCUGUUGACAGUCUUCUGUCUUCUUAGGGUACCUCAAACUGUUGCAUACUAUAGUUUCUACGCCUCCAUAUCACAUUUAACAUAGGGGUAAUAGACACUUACCUUGAAGGGCUGUUGGGUUUUGUUUGUUUAAAAACCACUUUUAUUUAGUAGCUGUACUACAGUAAUGCAUUUCCUUAUGGAAUUUUCUGUGGCAUUUAUUAACUCUGAUCUCAGAGGAAGAGGUGAGUAUUGUGCAUCUUUUAAAGACCAGAUCUGCAAUCAACUUUCCUUGCUACCAGCUCAAGCUGAGAAACCGAGUUUCCAUGUUGUUGAUUCAUGGUUUAUUCGUACAGUCCUGUGAGCUCCAAAAUACUCUUGAUUUGUGUCCUAUCUUGUCAUUGAUUCAUUUUGCAUAUUUAGCUAUUACUAUUAAACACUUGUCUGUCCCAUUUUUAGAAUGUGGUUUCAUGAGCAACACAUUAAAUAUUCUGCAAAAUCUUUUAUACGCUAAAGGUAGUGUUCAUGUUUGAACUUCAACAUAUUUUACAACAAAUUUACCUGUAAAGAACUAUGUUGCAGAAAGAAUGAACUAGUUAAAUUGUAACACUUGAUUUCUUAUGUACAGUGGUAAACAGCGGAUCUUUUAAAAUGCAAAGUGACUUACACCUAUGCGUUUAGGACUUCUACAGGCCAUCGUUCGUCAAGUUUCAAAAGCAGUUUUCUUGGUGCUGCAUAUGGCACACUUACUGAGCGAGAGUGGUUCUGUACUUGAUAUUCAGAUAUAGACAUGUGAAAAUGUUUCCACUUUUCCCUUAAUAGUGGUAUCUCGUUAAGUAUUGGGGGAAGUAUCUCCUAAUCAGGUAGCAAUACUAGCAGUAAUGAUUGGAAUUUGAAAUGUUUAGACUCCCUUUAUGUUCUUCAUCACAAUCUCUUGUCAUAGAAGUCACAAGAAAUGAUUGAUAGAAAUAUAUCUGAAGUGGUGAGCUACUAUUUUACCACAGUUUAACUUGAAGCAGAAGUAGCAAUUCUUCAUUUAAAACAAACAAAAAAAAAGUUUAAAAUUUAUUUGAAGGAAAACUUAUGUCUGAGAUAUGUGAAUCUCCUUUCUAAGGUGGCAGUUGUGAGUGUGUGUCGGAAGAAAAUGUUUAACUAUAAGCAGAAAUAAGAAAAAUAAUGGAGAAAAUGCCGUGCCACAAAUGACAUUGUUCAUCUUUCUGUGAGGGGCUAGUAUCACUGGGGUAUUUCUUUUUCACUCUAAAUUAAACAGGUUAUUUCUGUUGGAAGUUAUGUAAUGGCUCUCACGUGCAACAACUCAAUAUUUUUUUCCACAUUUGAUUCACUUGUAAUAGCUCUGUGUUAAUAAACCAAAUUAAAUUCA